GGAAGGAACUAACAGGGAUUCCCCUAGUAACUGCGAGUGAAGCGGGAAAAGCUCAAAUUUAAAAUCUGGUAGUCUCUGGCUGCCCGAGUUGUAAUCUAGAGAAGUGUUAUCCGCGCUGGACCGUGUAUAAGUCUCCUGGAAUGGAGCGUCAUAGAGGGUGAGAAUCCCGUCUUUGACACGGACUACCAGGGCUUUGUGAUGCGCUCUCAAAGAGUCGAGUUGUUUGGGAAUGCAGCUCUAAAUGGGUGGUAAAUUCCAUCUAAAGCUAAAUAUUGGCGAGAGACCGAUAGCGAACAAGUACCGUGAGGGAAAGAUGAAAAGAACUUUGGAAAGAGAGUUAAACAGUACGUGAAAUUGUUGAAAGGGAAACGCUUGAAGUCAGUCGCGUUGGCUAGGAAUCAGCCUUGCUUUUGCUUGGUGUACUUCCUUGUUGACGGGUCAGCAUCAAUUUUGACCGGUGGAAAAAGGCUAGUGGAAUGUGGCAUCUUCGGAUGUGUUAUAGCUGCUAGUUGUAUACAUCGGUUGGGAUUGAGGAACUCAGCACGCCGAAAGGUCGGGGUUCGCCCACGUUCGUGCUUAGGAUGCUGGCAUAAUGGCUUUAAUCGACCCGUCUUGAAACACGGACCAAGGAGUCUAACAUGCCUGCGAGUGUUUGGGUGGAAAACCCGAGCGCGUAAUGAAAGUGAAAGUUGAGAUCCCUGUCGUGGGGAGCAUCGACGCCCGGACCAGACCUUCUGUGACGGAUCCGCGGUAGAGCAUGUAUGUUGGGACCCGAAAGAUGGUGAACUAUGCCUGAAUAGGGUGAAGCCAGAGGAAACUCUGGUGGAGGCUCGUAGCGAUUCUGACGUGCAAAUCGAUCGUCAAAUUUGGGUAUAGGGGCGAAAGACUAAUCGAAC
rnacentral:rRNA from 1 species